GACGAACCGUGCGAACGUUGUUCGGAAUCACUGGGCUUAAAGGGCGCGUAGGCGGGCCACCAAGUCUGGGGUGAAAGCCCCCGGCUCAACCGGGGAAUUGCCUGGGAUACUGGUGGUCUGGAGGGAGGUAGGGGCAGCGGGAACUUCCGGUGGAGCGGUGAAAUGCGUUGAUAUCGGAAGGAACGCCGGUGGCGAAAGCGCGCUGCUGGACCUCUUCUGACGCUGAGGCGCGAAAGCCAGGGGAGCGAAC
rnacentral:rRNA from 1 species